rnacentral:RNase_P_RNA from 1 species
CGAGUCGGCGGGGUGAUCGCGGCCGGUGCGCGAGCACCGGGCGAGGAAAGUCCGGACUCCGCAGAGCAGGGUGGUGGGUAACGCCCACCCGGGGUGACCCGCGGGAAAGUGCCACAGAAAGUAGACCGCCCCUUCGGGGGUAAGGGUGAAAGGGUGGUGUAAGAGACCACCGGCAGCUCGGGUGACCGAGGUGGCCGGGUAAACCCCACCCGGAGCAAGACCGAACAGGGAGUGUUCGACGGCUGCUCGCCGGAGCUCCCGGGUAGGUUGCUGGAGGCCGUCGGCAACGACGGUCCUAGAUGGAUGAUCACCCGCCCCGUCCGGGGCGACAGAAUCCGGCUUACACGCCGACUCGUUCC